CAAACAUUUAAGCAUUUAGCUAACAAUGCCAAGGUUAAAUUCCCAGGGAAUGCAAAAAGUGUCAAAUGUACACCUUGAAAGAAGCGCAAGUCACUUUGAAUUAAAAACAUCUGCAAUAUUCAUAAAUGUAGAUUAAAUACAUUGAUAGCAAUGGUGAUUUAAAAAGUCAAUCUAUCAUUCAAGCUAAAGUGUCUAACAGGUUUUUUUUUUUUUUUUCAGAGGCAAAGUGAGGACACACGCCACAUCCAGCGUUGCAACUUUUCAUUAGUUUAACUUAAGAUAACUCACUUGAUAAGAAAUUCAAAUGAAGUCAUUAAAAGUCUCCUCUGGGUUCAGACCAACAAAGGUCUCAUUUGUUUCUUAUCCUCUCUUAACCCAUUCUAAGAACAGAACAAAUCCUUGUGACAAGAAUGCCAUUGCCCUGGAUCUGGAUCUGGAAAACCUGGAUGUUUGGACUCUCAUUCUGACAGCACCCAUUGGAUCCAUUGGUUGUGAAAGCACUAAGGUGGCUCUCUGAUGCUCCGGUAAAACCCAGGGAACUCAUUUGUAAUGACAACAUGCUUGUGGAGACAUCUGUAAGAUAAAUGACUCAGGAAAUAAAUAAAAAAAG
ensembl:lncRNA